rnacentral:sRNA from 1 species
AAUGUAGUGAAGCAGUGCAGGAUGAGAACCAGGGGUUCGAGCGAAGCGAGACGACAACGCGCAAGCGUUGCCCGCAGAGCGAGGUGAAACAGAGUCAAUCCAGCACGGCCCACCA